UGGGAAUCUUGGACAAUGGGGGCAACCCUGAUCCAGCAAUGCCGCGUGUGGGAUGAAGGCCUUCGGGUUGUAAACCACUUUUGGCGGGGGCGAAAUAUCGAGUGCUAAUACCAUUCGGUGAUGACGGUACCCGCAGAAUAAGCACCGGCUAACUACGUGCCAGCAGCCGCGGUAAUACGUAGGGUGCAAGCGUUAAUCGGAAUUACUGGGCGUAAAGCGUGCGCAGGCGGUUAGGUAAGACAGGUGUGAAAUUCCCGGGCUCAACCUGGGAACUGCAUUUGUGACUGCCUGACUAGAGUGCGGCAGAGGGGAGUGGAAUUCCGCGUGUAGCAGUGAAAUGCGUAGAUAUGCGGAGGAACACCGAUGGCGAAGGCAACUCCCUGGGCCUGCACUGACGCUCAUGCACGAAAAGCGUGGGGAGCAAACAGGAUUAGAUACCCUGGUAGUCCACGCCCUAAAACGAUGUCGACUAGUUGUUGGACGGGUUACUGUUCAGUAACGAAGCUAACGCGUGAAGUCGACCGCCUGGGGAGUACGGCCGCAAGGUU
rnacentral:rRNA from 1 species